AAUAGAUACCCCGGUAGUCCACGCCGUAAACGAUGAGUGCUAAGUGUUAGAGGGUUUCCGCCCUUUAGUGCUGCAGCUAACGCAUUAAGCACUCCGCCUGGGGAGUACGGCCGCAAGGCUGAAACUCAAAGGAAUUGACGGGGGCCCGCACAAGCGGUGGAGCAUGUGGUUUAAUUCGAAGCAACGCGAAGAACCUUACCAGGUCUUGACAUCCUCUGACAACCCUAGAGAUAGGGCUUUCUCCUUCGGGGGACAGAGUGACAGGUGGUGCAUGGUUGUCGUCAGCUCGUGUCGUGAGAUGUUGGGUUAGGUCCCGCAACGAGCGCAACCCUUGAUCUUAGUUGCCAGCAUUCAGUUGGGCACUCUAAGGUGACUGCCGGUGACAAACCGGAGGAAGGUGGGGAUGACGUCAAAUCAUCAUGCCCCUUAUGACCUGGGCUACACACGUGCUACAAUGGAUGGUACAAAGGGCUGCAAACCUGCGAAGGUAAGCGAAUCCCAUAAAGCCAUUCUCAGUUCGGAUUGCAGG
rnacentral:rRNA from 1 species